GAUGAACGCUGGCGGCGUGCCUAAUACAUGCAAGUCGAGCGAACGGACGAGAAGCUUGCUUCUCUGAUGUUAACGGCGGACGGGUGAGUAACACGUGGAUAACCUACCUAUAAGACUGGGAUAACUUCGGGAAACCGGAGCUAAUACCGGAUAAUAUUUUGAACCGCAUGGUUCAAAAGUGAAAGACGGUCUUGCUGUCACUUAUGGAUGGAUCCGCGCUGCAUUAGCUAGUUGGUAAGGUAACGGCUUACCAAGGCAACGAUGCAUAGCAGACCUGAGAGGGUGAUCGGCCACACUGGAACUGAGACACGGUCCAGACUCCUACGGGAGGCAGCAGUAGGGAAUCUUCCGCAAUGGGCGAAAGCCUGACGGAGCAACGCCGCGUGAGUGAUGAAGGUCUUCGGAGCGUAAAACUCUGUUAUUAGGGAAGAACAUAUGUGUAAGUAACUGUGCACAUCUUGACGGUACCUAAUCAGAAAGCCACGGCUAACUACGUG
rnacentral:rRNA from 1 species